rnacentral:rRNA from 1 species
GACGAACGCUGGCGGCGUGCUUAACACAUGCAAGUCGAACGGAAAGGCCCUGCUUGCAGGGUGCUCGAGUGGCGAACGGGUGAGUAACACGUGGGUGAUCUGCCCCUUAUUUUGGGAUAAGCCUGGGAAACUGGGUCUAAUACUGGAUAGGACCAUGCUGUAGGUGGUGUGGUGGAAAGAUUAGUUUCGGUAAGGGAUGAGCUCGCGGCCUAUCAGCUUGUUGGUGGGGUAAUGGCCUACCAAGGCGUCGACGGGUAGCCGGCCUGAGAGGGUGGACGGCCACAUUGGGACUGAGAUACGGCCCAGACUCCUACGGGAGGCAGCAGUGGGGAAUAUUGCACAAUGGGCGCAAGCCUGAUGCAGCGACGCCGCGUGGGGGAUGACGGCCUUCGGGUUGUAAACUCCUUGCAGCCAUGACGAAGCCCUUGUGGUGACGGUAGUGGUAGAAGAAGCACCGGCUAACUACGUG